GAUGAACGCUGGCGGCGUGCCUAACACAUGCAAGUCGAGCGGACGGACGCGACGCUUGCUUCACUGAUGUUAGCGGCGGACGGAUGAGUAACACGUGGAUAACCCACCUCUUAGACUUGGAUCACUUCGGGAAACCGGAGUUAAUACCGGGUAACAUUUUGAACCGCAUGGUUCAAAAGUGAAAUACGUUUUUGCUGUCCCUUCUAGCUGGAUCCGCGGUGCAUUAGCUAGUUGGUAAGGUAACGGCUUACCAAGGCCACGAUGGAUAGCCGACCUGAGAGCGGGAACGGCCACUCUGGAACUGAGACGCGGUCCAGAGUCCUACGGGAGGCAGAGGUAGGGAAUCUUCGGAAAAGGGCGAAAGCCUGACGGAGCAGCGCCGCGCUGGUGAAGAAGGUCUGCGGAUCGUAAGACGCUGUUAGUGGUGAAGAACAUUUGUGUAAGUAACGAUGCACAUCGUGACGGUACCUAGUUAGAAAGCCACGGCUAACUACGUG
rnacentral:rRNA from 1 species